GCAGCUGAGGUGCAGUGCUGUGUUGUGCAAAGUGAUCCAGUUACACACACACACACAUUCUGUUUUUAUAUUCUUUUCCACUGUGAUUCUCAUGGGACAGCGAAUACUGCUCCCUGUUCUGUUAAGCAGGACUCUGUUAUCUGUUCUUGCUUUUUAGAAAAACACCUAUUUAUUUGGCUGUGCUGGGUCUUCGUUUGGGCAGGUGGGGUCUUCACUUUCUGCUGCAGCCCGAGGGAUCUUCAGUUGUGACUUGCAGACUCUUAGUUGCCACCUGUGGUGUCUAGCUCCCUGGCCAGGGAUUGAACCUGGGCCCGCUGCACUGGGCGUGUGGAGUCUUGGCUGCUGAGCCGCCAGGGGCAUCCCACGUCCAUUCUGUGUGGGAGUGCUCGCCUCGCUCGCCUCCGGCUCCUCCAUCCCUCCACUCGCCCUGGGCCGUCACGAGGCUGGUCUGUGGUUCUGUUUCAUGGGAAGGUUCGUCUGUGUCAUGUCCUCAUACAGACGGUGUCAUGCGGUCUUUGUCUUUCUCUGAGUUGCGUCUCCAGUUCCGUCCUCGUUGCUACAAGCGGCAUUAUUUCAUUCUUUUUAUGGCUGAGUAAUAUUCCAUCUGUAUAUACACAGACGCAUGGAGAAGGAAAUGGCAGCCCACUCCAGUAUCUUGCCUGGGAAAUCCCAUGGACGGGGUGGCCAGAGUCGGCAAUAACACACACACAGACACACACACACAGACACACACACAGACACACACAGACACAGACACACUACAUCUUGUCCAUGCAUCCAUCAGGGGCCUUGAUUGCUGCUGCCAUGUCUUGGCUGUUGUAAAUAUGCUGCGGUGAACAUUGGGCUGGAUUACCUUUCUGAACUCAGCUUUGUCUGGACGCAUGUCCAGGAGCAGGAUUGCAGGAGGCAGCUCUAGUUUUAGUUUUCAGAGGGCCCUCCCUACUGCUCACCACAGCGGCUGCCCCGAUUCGCGUUCCCACCAGCAGUGUGGGAGGCCGCCUUUUCCCGUACCCUCUGCCGCAUUUGUGGUUUGCAGGCUGGGAUGGUGGCCACUGUGGAUGGUGCCGCACCGUAGUCUCGGUCUGCAUCUCCCUAGUAGUGAGCAGUGUUGAAUGGCUCUUCAUGUGCCUGUUGGCUACCUGUCUCCUUUGGAGAAAUGUCUGUUUAGGUCUUCAGGAAUUUUUUGAUUGGGUUGUUUUGCUGUUGUUGAGUUAUAUGAUCUGUUUGUGUAUUUUGGAAACUAAAGCUUUGGAGGUCACAAAUGUUUGCAAAUAUUUUCUCCUGUUCCACAGGCUGUCUUUUUCCCCUGGGCAUAUAUACAUAGUUUCUCCCAAUACAUUUUUGAUCCCCUCUCCCCCCUCUCGAAUCUCUAUUGUGUGUAGGGUGGCACAUGAUCCCGUGAGCCUAUUUUCCCUAAUCUCACUUUGUCUGCUGGCCUGGCUGGCUGACUCCACUGUCGUCUUCCAGAGCGCGGACUCAGCCUGUCCGCAGCACCUGCAGCCCAGCUUUUUAUCUUAGCGAAUGUUUCCUGAGUUUUCAUGGCUCCUGUUUCUAGUUCUUAUCAUCAUCCCCGUUUCUGUCAAUGGCUUUUCUUAAUCUCUUUAGUGUUUUUAUUAUCUCCUUUUUGAACUCUAUAUAUCUAGACUGAAGACGUCUUUUUUGUCGUCCUUUCAGUUUUCUUGGUCUUAUAACGGGAUGGUUCCCUUGCUCUGUGAAAGUGAAGUCGCUCAGUCGUGUCUGACUCUUUGCGACCCCAUGGACUGUAGCCCACCAGGCUCCUCCGGCCACGGGAUUUUCCAGGCAAGAGGACUAGAGUGGGGUGCCAUUGCCUUCGCCCUUGCUUUGAGCCUGAAGUCCUCUGCUAGGGGCUCCG
ensembl:lncRNA